rnacentral:rRNA from 1 species
UACGUAGGGGGCAAGCGUUGUCCGGAAUCAUUGGGCGUAAAGCGCGCGUAGGCGGCCAGAUAAGUCCGGUGUGAAAGUCACAGGCUCAACCUGUGAAUGCCGCUGGAAACUGUCUGGCUUGAGUCCGGAAGGGGCGAGUGGAAUUCCUGGUGUAGCGGUGAAAUGCGCAGAUAUCGGGAGGAACACCGGUGGCGAAGGCGGUUCUCUGGGCCUUACCUGACGCUGAGGAGCGAAAGCGUGGGGAGCGAACAGG